UACGGAGGGGGCUAGCGUUGUUCGGAAUUACUGGGCGUAAAGCGCACGUAGGCGGACUAGUAAGUAAGAGGUGAAAUCCCAGAGCUCAACUUUGGAACUGCCUUUUAAACUGCUAGUCUUGAGUUCGAGAGAGGUGAGUGGAAUUCCGAGUGUAGAGGUGAAAUUCGUAGAUAUUCGGAGGAACACCAGUGGCGAAGGCGGCUCACUGGCUCGAUACUGACGCUGAGGUGCGAAAGCAUGGGGAGCAAACAGG
rnacentral:rRNA from 1 species